rnacentral:rRNA from 1 species
AUUGAACGCUGGCGGAAUGCUUUACACAUGCAAGUCGAACGGUAGAGGGGGCAACCCCUUGAGAGUGGCGAACGGGUGAGUAAUAUAUCGGAACGUGCCCAGUCGUGGGGAUAACGUAGCGAAAGCUACGCUAAUACCGCAUACGAUCUAUGGAUGAAAGCGGGGGAUCGCAAGACCUCGCGCGAUUGGAGCGGCCGAUAUCAGAUUAGGUAGUUGGUGAGGUAAAGGCUCACCAAGCCGACGAUCUGUAGCUGGUCUGAGAGGACGACCAGCCACACUGGGACUGAGACACGGCCCAGACUCCUACGGGAGGCAGCAGUGGGGAAUUUUGGACAAUGGGCGCAAGCCUGAUCCAGCAAUGCCGCGUGCAGGAUGAAGGCCUUCGGGUUGU